UUUGUGUUUGUUUGGGUUUUUUUAAUCCCACCAAGGCUGAGGAAAGAGGACCAAAAAAGGAGGAAUAUCCACAUUUAUCUGUUUUCUUUCUUGGCUACCCGUUUGAGUAAUAGUUUGAAAAUUCCCAGUGUUCAAUUAAGAGUUACCCUUUCCAAACAGAUGGCUAAUUAAAUGUUAAUAGCAUGAACAGGCAAAAUGUUUUAAACACCAUAAACCUCACAAACGUGCGAGACAUUUUGAAUGCUAUAGUCGAGAGGUGAGGUAAAGCCAGAGCAAUCUAGAUGAGAGGACAUCAUGGUCAAUAAGACCAAAGCUCUUGAAUUUCUCUAGCAUCCAAUGAAUUCCAACAGUAUUAUUAUUUUUUUUGAAUCAGACAAAACUCUCUUACAGUAGGAAUGACUUUGACAUGCCAGGGUCCACCUGCCAUUCAGUGUCAAGCACCUACAGCCAAAGACCUGGAAAAGUAAAUCACAAUGGCUGUUUCCUAACCCAUACCUGUAAAUAUGAUUUUCAGAAGCUACAGAGGCACAGGACCUGUAGCUUCUUUCCACUACUUGCCUGUUGAGGAGCACGUCCAGUGAAAGAGGAGGGAUCCAACAAGCUUUCAAGUUGCUUAUGGAUAGGGCUGAAGUAAGAAUCAGCACAGACACGGUCAAUGAAGUCAUUAUCACCCCCCUCCUGUUUCACAACAGCAGCUGCUUGCUGGGAGAGAACACGAAUCUUCUCAUGGCAAUCCUGUAGGAGCAGGGAGAAGAGGAGGGGGAAAGAAAGAGGUCAUUCCAUUGCUACCGACAGCACAUGUUCAUCCCUUGUGCGGGAGGGAGAAACAUCAAGAGGUGCUGCACUGGACAGCACAUAAAUGAGGCACAGCUUGGACUGCAGAGUCUCAUAGACCACUAUAUUAAAACUAGAUUUUCUUUAUUCUUCCGCAUCUGCUUUGUGAGACUAAACCAGUCUGAAUGUCACAUAUGUUCCCUGUUUAAUUAUGCCACAAAAUUAUGACACUGGAAUCCUUUACACUUUUUCACGUUUCGCAAAUCCUCCUAAGUGUCACUAUAGGGUUGUUUUUUUUUUUCCAGUUGUAAACAAUAUAAAACAUCUACAGAUUUGGAAAAGAGAAAAGA